GGCUUUCACUGUCCGUUCCUCGCAACUAGUUUCUAGUUGACCCCGAGGAAUAGAGAGUGAAAGUGCUGGCGAGUGGCGGACGGUUGAGUAACGCGUGGGAACGUGCCCCAAAGUGAGGAAUAAGCACCGGAAACGGUGUCUAAUGCCGCAUAUGAUCUUCGGAUUAAAGUAUUUAUACGCUUUGGGAGCGGCCCGCGUCGGAUUAGGUUGUUGGUGAGGUAAUGGCUCACCAAGCCGACGAUCCGUAGCUGGUCUGAGAGGAUGACCAGCCAGACUGGAACUGAGACACGGUCCAGACUCCUACGGGAGGCAGCAGUGAGGAAUCUUCCACAAUGGGCGAAAGCCUGAUGGAGCAACGCCGCGUGCAGGAUGAAGGCCUUCGGGUCGUAAACUGCUUUUAUUUGUGAAGAAUAUGACGGUAACAAAUGAAUAAGGAUCGGCUAACUACGUGCCAGCAGCCGCGGUCAUACGUAGGAUCCAAGCGUUAUCCGGAGUGACUGGGCGUAAAGAGUUGCGUAGGUGGUUGUAUAAGUGAAUAGUGAAAUCUGGCGGCUCAACCGUACAGGCUAUUAUUCAAACUGUAUAACUCGAGAAUGGUAGAGGUAACUGGAAUUUCCUGUGUAGGAGUGAAAUCCGUAGAUAUAAGAAGGAACACCAAUGGCGUAGGCAGGUUACUGGACCAUUUCUGACACUGAGGCACGAAAGCGUGGGGAGCGAACCGGAUUAGAUACCCGGGUAGUCCACGCCGUAAACUAUGGAUACUAGCUGUUGGGGGGUAUCGACCCCCCCAGUAGCGAAGCUAACGCGUCAAGUAUCCCGCCUGUGGAGUACGGUCGCAAGACUAAAACAUAAAGGAAUUGACGGGGACCCGCACAAGCGGUGGAUCGUGUUCUUUAAUUCGAUGAUAAACGAAAAACCUUACCA
rnacentral:rRNA from 1 species